AUGGGGCAAAGUAUAUUGCUAUUUAUAAAAGAAAGAACCCGAGCAACUCAUUUACUCAAGUUUAUUAGAGGUAAAAUUUUUGAGGGGAGAGAUUUCAUGAAUGGUCAUGACCUAAUUCCAUCCUGUGAAUUACCAAUGGGGGAGCGGGGAUGCACUAAGAUAUUUGAAUUAAGUCAACCACCACAGCAAGAAAUGUCAUUCAGUGUAACUUUAUUUACUAUUUAUUGCACAUAAUUCGAGGUCUUUAAUUUCUAACCACCAAAGGUUCAAAGGACUAUUUUUUCCACAAAGUUUAACAUUAACAUUAGUGAAUUCAUUUACUUGUGGGUUUUUUACUGUAUUGUAAACAUCUGAAUUAUUCACAUUGCCAUAGAUCCUGAACUCAUAAGCGUGGACCAUGCACAGGCUGACAGCAAGCCAGAAAGCCACUCGGCAAGCAAACAGAUACUCUGCGGAAGGAAAAGUCAUAGCACGUUUAAUGUCCAACCUAAGUCAUCUCAGAAUUAGACGUAUAUUGACUUCUUAAUUCAUAUAGUAUCUGGAACUCAACUGGUUGGUUCGUGAUGGGGUUGACCUGAUUUUGGGAGAAUGAUUCCUGGAAUAACUAAGGGAAGGAGUGGGGCUCAAUCUUUCUUCUUGGUUGCUUGUUCCUCGCCAGCACCUUCAUCUUUCUUCUCCUCCUCCUCAGCUUCUUUGGUUUCUUCUCCCUCCUUGCCUUCACCUCCCUCUUCUUCCUCCUUUGCCUCCUCAGAUUCUUCCUUGGCAGCUUUAAGAUAAAAAGAAAAGGUACAAACUCCAAAUCCAGGGGUCAGUCCAGUCAAAACAUUUCUGCUAAGGUUUCACGGAGGAACACAGAUGUCAGAACACCUGCCCCCAACCUCUCAGCAUCUCUCUCUCAAAACACAGGCAAUAGACAAUGCUUGCCAGGAAUAACUGUCCACUGAAUACAUAUUUAAGUAGAAUGAGGUUUCAUCUAGGUCCUGAGAGCUCUGCUCUCUGCCAGAACUUCGGUUUUUCUUUAGUUAUGUGUUCAGUUU
rnacentral:lncRNA from 1 species